AGAGUUUGAUCAUGGCUCAGAUUCGAAUAGCUGGCGGCAUGCUUUACACAUGCAAGUCGAACGGUAACAGGUCUUCGGAUGCUGACGAGUGGCGAACGGGUGAGUAAUGCAUCGGAACGUGCCCAGUCGUGGGGGAUAACGCAGCGAAAGCUGUGCUAAUACCGCAUACGAUCUAUGGAUGAAAGCGGGGGAUCGCAAGACCUCGCGCGAUUGGAGCGGCCGAUGUCAGAUUAGCUAGUUGGUGGGGUAAAGGCCCACCAAGGCGACGAUCUGUAGCUGGUCUGAGAGGACGACCAGCCACACUGGGACUGAGACACGGCCCAGACUCCUACGGGAGGCAGCAGUGGGGAAUUUUGGACAAUGGGCGCAAGCCUGAUCCAGCAAUGCCGCGUGCAGGAAGAAGGCCUUCGGGUUGUAAACUGCUUUUGUACGGAACGAAAAGGCUCUGGUUAAUACCUGGGGCUCAUGACGGUACCGUAAGAAUAAGCACCGGCUAACUACGUGCCAGCAGCCGCGGUAAUACGUAGGGUGCAAGCGUUAAUCGGAAUUACUGGGCGUAAAGCGUGCGCAGGCGGUUUUGUAAGACAGGCGUGAAAUCCCCGGGCUCAACCUGGGAAUGGCGCUUGUGACUGCAAAGCUGGAGUGCGGCAGAGGGGGAUGGAAUUCCGCGUGUAGCAGUGAAAUGCGUAGAUAUGCGGAG
rnacentral:rRNA from 1 species